CCACAUGUAACAUGUGUAAUCUUUAAAUCGAGUCAUUUCUAUCUUCAAGAGGUAAGUAGAUUUAUUGAUUUUGAAUAUGCAGUUUGAUAAAUAUAAUUGUAUGGUUGACACACUACUGGCUUUCAGUGUUUAUGAUGAUAAGUAAAAAAAAACCCGCACAAUUUUUAUCAUGUGUUUAUUUAUUAUUGUGCGUAGUCUUUUUUGUUUAAGAAUAUUAAUGUUUAGGUUUAACUAUGAGUUACAACCGAAAAGAAUAUAUGGCAUAAUCUUUAGGAAGAUCAUCAAAAUCAGUAUAGAAGAGUGGCGAAAGAUACCAGAUCUAGAGGGACAUUCAAACUCAUAGAUCGAAACCAAAAAUGACAACGCCAUGGCUAAAAAAGGACAUAGACAAAUAAUGCUACACAAGACACAUUAUAGAAAACUAAAGACUAAGCAACACGAACCCCACCAAAAUGGUGGGUAACACAGGUGCUCCGAAAGGUUAAGCAGACAUAUUUCGGUCGUAUAGUAUAUUGAGUCAGCUUAUGUGAGACACGAAACCGUUAUACCAGUGAAAUUAAACUUUUACGAUAUAAAUACUUUUUAAUGCAGCAAAAUUGAAAAUAUUCAUCCAAUUUCUGCAUUUCUGAUAGCUGCAGUGAGGAAGCGAUGUCUCUUGCCUCCAUGAUAUGCCUACGUUCAAUAUCGUUUGACUCAGAACCUGUCUAGCGCGUACUAAACUAAUAAGAGGAAGCAAAAUUAUUUAUCGGUCAGGAUGUAAUAUUUUUUUCACAAACAGGAAAUGCUCUACUUUCAAUAUACUUAAAAAAGACCUUCAAACGUAAGGGCAGUUUCAAAUUUCUUUUAAAUUGUUAUUAACGAAAAAGAUUAACAAGUAUAUCGGCAAAUAUUUCAAUUCUAUUUUAAAGGCAUAAAUAUAAAAUUUCAAUCCUGGUAUCUAUGAUAAGUUUAUUUACAAAGAAAUCUACAUGAUUUCUUGAUGCUAUUUAAUAAAAGUCAUUUCAAAGUAUAACGUGACUGAUAUCAUAUAGAUUCCCUUAGAGGAAGUUAAUUGUUUAUUUAUACCACAGUCAUCUAUUAUUUCAUCUUAUACAGUUUCGUAACUGAACUCGUUUUUUAAUUUAGAUUUAUUUGAUACUAAUUUACAUAAAAGCAAACCACCUGCAUUGUUUUAUUAAACGAGUCAGUUGUUAUAACAGAAAUGUCCUUGAAAUAGUGUUUUUCUAUAAGCCAACAAUUAUUUGCGACUUUCAGUAUACAUUAGUAAUAAUUAUUAGCAUUAAUAGAAUCGUUGAGAUAAAGGGAAGAUCAAUGUCCAAAUCCAUACGAAAAUACAUUACAACGUAAAUCAUCAAAGAUAAAAACAUCCAAGAUUAGUCGUUUUUGACACGACAAAUGUCAAUAAAUACAUGUAUUCAUCUUCUCUUCGAAAAGAUUUCAAAGUGGAGUAUAAAUAUUUACACUCAGCUAAACAAACAUUGCACCACUUCUUCUCAUAAAUAAUAGUUUUGAAGUGUGUUUCUUUUUUUCUAAAAAUAUGUAACUUACUGUUUUGUACAAUCUACAACCUUACAUAUACUUAGCUUUAAAGAAGAGAUUUUGUUUCAUGAUCAGUUGAUAUUUUAAAGUCAAAUAUCAAAAGUCGGAGUAAUGUCAAUUUAAAAUUUGCAAUUAGAAAACUGAAUACUUAUGCCCUUCUCUUCGAAAAGAUGUUUAUUCAAGGUUGAGUAUGAAGCUUUAUACUCAGCUAAACAAACAAAUGCGCUACUUUUUCUCUCAAAUAAAAGUUUUGAAGCUUUUUUUUUUUUUUAAGUAACUUUCUUUUAUACUUAGAAUAAUCUUACUUUUUUACACUUUACAGAGAACAUUCCCAAAAAAAAAAAAGGUUGCCUACGUUUUGAAAAAAUGAAGUCUGGGGUAAAUGGGCAAUAUCCUUCAUUUUUCUAAUUUCCAAUUUAAAAUUGACACAUCUUCGACUUUGGAUUUUUUACUUUUCUUAUCUGUAUAGCGUAGAAUAUACAAGAAAUUGAAAUAUCGUCUACUUGAUUUUUUUACUUGUCUAACAAAACUAAAAUUUAAAUUUAAAAAAAAUAUUCCUUUCCACAAAAUUUAAUGGAUAUGACAUUAGAAAUAUUAUUUGAAAAUUAGGACACAUUUCAAUAACUUUUGAGAAUGUGAUAUUAUUGUUACUCCAAAGGAAUCAAUGUAGGUUAUGGCUUAAUUUUGUUGUUGAGUUUAUAAAAUCUCAUAUAUGCUGCAUCUAAAUACCAAAAAAUAUAUAAAUAAAGGCAACAGUAGUAUACCGCUGUUCAAAACUCAUAAAUCCAUGGACAAAAAACAAAAUCGGGGUAACAAACUAAAACCGAGGGAAACGCAUUAAAUAUAAGAGGAGAACAACGACACAACACUAAAAUGUAACACACACAGAAACGGACCAAGCAUCAGACAAAAUCCCACGAGAAUAACAAAUAUAAAAUAAGUGCUGCUGUAUUCAACCAAAGCAGUUUGAAUUGUUUGCCACACUGUUAUUUAGGUAGAUACAAACUAGAUAGCGAGUUUAACUAGCGAAUGGAAAAGUUAUUAAGUGCACACAAUUAAAAGAUAUUACAAUACUAAUGGCAUACUAUUACAUUACACAUGUCGACCAAGGUGUUAUCACAUCAGAGACAAGUUGUCGAUAAGGAUUUUCUUUUAUAAACCCCGUUUACACUUGUACGAAUUGAACCGAUCUUUAUUUGAAAACACAUAUUUCCAUGGCUUUACUAAAAUAUAAAUCUAUUUAAAGAAUGACUGUAUUUUUUUCUGUCUAUGAAGAAAUAACAUAAAAAAUCUGGUGCACACUGAAUAACGCGCAUAGCGGGUUAUUUAACAGUGUGCAACACAUUUUUUAUGUUAUUUCGAAUAGACAGAAAAAAAAUAUUACAGCCAUUUCUUAUAAUUUAAUUCUAAAUUCCAUUUUAAACCGUAGAAAACCAUGAAAAAACGUUGAUGACGUCACGGUCACAUGACUAAAUUAUGUCCAUUGGCUGAUAACAGAAUAACGUCAGCCAAUCAGAAGACGCGUUCAUCCAAAAUAUUAAUCUAUUGAAGUCUAUAUGUGGUUCUCAUCGCUUCCAAACCUUUCCAAUUCAUACUAAGGUUAUCAUGUGAUAUAACCAUCAGGAGCAUUUUAUUACCAAAUAAAAUUGUGUUUUUUUAUGCAAAGUUCAUAAACAAAGUGAUGGAAUUAACUAACACUUAAACAGUAUCAGAUAAUAAGAAAUAGUAGUGUAAUGUUAUUUGAAUCUCACAAAUUCAAAAGGAAAGAUACAAACCAGUUAUACAAACAAGUUAAGUUAUGGAAUUUAAUGAACCCUCAACAAGGAGCAAAUAUAGAAACGUCAAUAGGACAAACGACUCUUAUUAUACAGGCAUAAUGGUUUAAUUUUAUAAAUUGUUAUUUGGACGGAGAGUUGUCUCAUUGGCACUUACACCACAUCUUCUUAUAUCUAAUAACUUUCAGUCAAAAUAUCACAAUCAGGAAUAGCACACCAUCGGGAACAGGUAUAUUGCCUUCUCUUUUUCUCUUUUUAAAGUAAACUUUUUAGGGUUAGGGUUAGGGUUAGGGUUGGGUGUUCACAAUGUAAUUUUAUUCAAACAUUUUAAUAAAUGUUUUUGUCACAUACAAUGUCACUAUAAUAAAUAUUCUUGUGUUGUAUUAUAUACGACUGUUAUCUAUUACAUGGACAAAAGUCAGUCACCAGGGAUGCACAUUAAGUACCCAUUGGAUUACCGACUGUUUGUUGACACUUCAAGCCCCCAAACUCAGCAAGUAUGUUGUUGAUCAAAAUGUCGGCAAUUUUUAUACUAUUUUAUGUGAACUUAGGGUUGGAAUCAGUGUGAUUCUUCACAUAGAUGAUUUUUCAGACCUUGAUUUAGGUAUUUGUAUCUACGAUUUUGGAGAUUACUGUAAUGUAUAUUAGACAAUCAAUUGGUAAUUUAAUGGUCGCAAAAUGCGAUUUAACGGCGACGUGUUAGCAGAAACAGUAAACAGGUUAUUGCGGCUAUCAAAUUAUCCAUUGUGCCCUCGGAGAUUAAAAUACAAUAUUGUUAUAUCUAUUCAUGACGAAAAAAAAAGUAAAAUUCCAAAAAUACUGAACUCCGAGGAAAAUUCAAAACGGAAAGUCCCUUAUCAAUGGCAUAAUCAAAUGAUAAAAUAUAUCAAACGAAUGGACAACAACUGUCGUAUUCCUGACUUGGUACAGGCAUUUCCAAAUGUAGAAAAUUAAACCUCACACUUGUAUGGCAGUCGCAUCAAAUUCCAUUAUAUUUACAACGAUGCAUGAACACAACAGACAUAACAGUUCAAAUUGUCAAAAUAGGAGUAUAGCAGUCAUCACCGUGUCACAAUCUCAAUCGGAGCAAAAACAAACAAAUAUUUAACAAAGGAGCACAAGAAAGCAUAUAAUGACAGAAAAAAGUCAAAUUAUACAUUUAAAAUCUGCAAUACGUCGUCUCAGCUUGCACAUGUAUUUUAAUAUUAUCAAUUGUGAAUUGAUUCCAGGAAAAUUUCUGACGUUAUCCAAUCAAACUGAACGUUACAAACGAUGAUACAUUGUAAUUACAUGUUUUUAAGAAAUCUGUUUUACAUUGGACAAUAUAGAGGAUACUAAAGGAAUAUUAGUGUAGGGCGUAUUUAAUUAUAUUCUAUAUCAUCUUUCAUGAUAAAUAUGCGGAAAGUAUUUUGAUUCAGUGAAGAUAUAAUAAGGCAAACAUAGAAAACCCUGCUUAAGUGAGAUAGGAAAAAAAAUGUCAGAGAAAAUGAAACAGGAAAAAUUAAGAUCAAGUAAGUUAAGACAUGAACAGCAAGCAUGUAUAGACGAGAAAAGAACAGAAACUUCAGAUAUUACGAGACAAGAAAAAAAGAGUUCAGAUAUAAUGAGACCAGUGAAACUGGAAAACACAGAUAUACACAGACAGGAAACGAAAGUCCACACAUAGUGCGUCAGGAAAAGACGAGUCGCAUAUAACGAGACAACAAAAUAAAAACAAAUAUGAAACAAGAAUCCAUAUAACAAGAGCCAGGAAAAGACAAUUCGUAAACAACGAGACAAUAAAAUAAAAACAGACAGGAAAUAAUAGUCCAUAUAUAACGAGAAAGAAAUAUCGUAUAUAACGAGACAACAAAAUAUGAAGACAGGAAAUGAAAGUAUAUAAAAUGCGAGCCAAGAAAAGAAAACUCAUACAUUACAAGAAAACAUAAUACAAUCGAAACAUGACGGAAAAUAUAAGCAAGUUUGGAAAUGACAUGACAUGAACAAAAUUCCAGAAAAAUCAGAACAUGAAGAAAAUAUCAAGUCAAAUCGAGACAGGAAAAGAAAGUUGCGAUUUUACGAAACGGAAAAAGACGGCCCCUAUAUGACGUCCGAACGUGCUAUGGAAAAAGGUCAAAUAUUAUUUGAAAGGUAAACAAAAAUCUAGAUAUGACGAAAGAAAAAAAAAGUUAAUGUAAGACAAAAAGAUUAAAUUCAGGUAAAAUAAAGUUCAGAUAUGACGGGACAAGUAGAUAAAGUCAAGAUAUGAUGAGAAAGGUAACGAAAUUUCUGUUAUGACAAG
rnacentral:lncRNA from 1 species